rnacentral:lncRNA from 1 species
UGUGCAUUGCAAGUUCAAUUAAUUAUGGGUAAUACUGUCACCACCAUCUGUACAAGUAGCUAGAAUGGUGUGAAGUCUCUUAUGUUUAAUUCUCUUCCCCUUUUCCUACAAAAUGUUCAAGGUUGACAUGUAGCUGUCUGUCAGUGUGUUGCCUUUCAGACCUAACAGCUUCCUUCUGCCUGCCCUGGCAGAUCUGUUGUAAAAAUCUUACGUGUUUCUUUGUCCAAAAAUAAAUUAUUAGAUUUGUUUUUCUUUUUUCUUUUUCUUUUUUUUUCUUUUUUUUUUUUUUCAGUGUAAUUGGGAUGCUGUCAGAGUUUGCUUGGGGUUCCUGUUCUGCUAGAUGCGUCCUCAUUAGCAGCAGAGAGCUUGUGCACUGGGAAGAGCUAUUUGGCAAAGGGGCCGAAGCCUGUGGCAGACGGUGCUGCAGAAGGUGACCGUGCUGUCAGCGAUUCUGGAUGGAGUGCUGGUGCCAAGGGGCUCUGACGUCCGCCACUUCCACACAGGUUCAUGGAGCUGCUGCUGUGCAUGCUCGGGGCCUUGGCAAUUUGGGAGGCAGAAAAUUUGGACGAGAGGAUGGGAAUGCUGAGAGUGCCUGUUCCCUUCGCUCUGCUCUCUGGCCUAGUUUUGCAUCCAUCUGUCUUCACAAAGGAAGAGGCCCUGGCAGCUCCCAGAAGAGGUGGGAUGUUGUAGGCUGUUUUGCUAGUCCCCAUGUAUAUUGGAAGAAAACCAAAAUCCAUUGACCAGCCCAGCUUGGCAGCACAACGGGAAUGUUGCAAUGAGAUGAUUAAGAAGUUUGAUUGAUUGAUUUUAAUACAAGGACCAAGACUUGGCUCCUGUGUGUUUGACUUCCCAAAUCUGCUUGGACACAAGCUGGUCUCUGUCAAAAUAUUUCCUGUGUACCACGCGCACCCAUGUCUAGCAUUAAGAAAACAUUUUUGUGGGAGAGCCAUGAGUGGGAUCUGUCUGUUACCUGUUCAUUCAUGGGUCAAAUGUGGUCAUGCAAGAGCAGCUGGAAAGGUCACAAGGGUCUUCGGUGGCUUUGGGCUAUGCCAACAGCUGGUCAAUGCUCAGGGUGAGUAAAACCUCACCCAAAUUUGUGAGCAAUUAUGGAAAUGGACCUCACAAUUUUAGUUGUUUCUGGGAUAUGGGGAGUUUCAGACAGUAGGAAAUGGCCUUCGCUCUGCAGGGCCCAGUAUGGUAUAAAACAAGUCGCACUGACAGCGACAGAUGCACUGCAAAAGGAAGGAAGAAGCUGCUGUCAUAAGCAGGUAUCUUAGCUUGAUGAUUCCAUUUGAGCCUGUCCCUGCAGCAGCAUAACGUAUGAGAUGAAUUAACUUUUCUGAAAUUCCCUCUCUCAUUUGCUUGUCUAAGGGAACAGCAGAAGCAUGCACUGAGUCAUGAAUUUUGGCGUGGAUUUUCUAAUGUAAGCAUGCUGACCCCUCCUACCCAUUUAACUUUACCGAAGUUACCCCUUGGUGACAUCUCUGCAUGCUCCCUUUGCUUUUCUGUCCCCUUCACCCCAGCAGUCCCCCUCAGCCCACAGACAGAGCUCAGCACCUCCCAGGUCCCAGCUCCCACAGCAGAGGUGACCGCCCAGCACCGCCGGGGACCAUGGAGGAGGGCAGAUGCCCAUUACUUUGGGACUAGAUGAUCAUAGAAGUCUUUUCCAACCUAAAUGAUUCUGUGAUUACAAAGUAUUUUCAGUGGUAUGUUCAAGCCAAAGAUAAUAAUAAUACUGAUUCUGGUGAUGUGGAAAAAAUCGUGGAGACUUGACAGAGCCUUCUUACUUAAACAUGUACGACCAUUUAUUUCAAUGUUGAGGUGACAUUGAGAUAAAAAAAAAAAAAAAAAAAGAAUAAAUGACUCCAUUUUUUUGUUUGUUUGUUUGUU